rnacentral:rRNA from 1 species
GACGAACGCUGGCGGCGUGCCUAACACAUGCAAGUCUACGAGAAAAGGGUAGCAAUAUCCUGAGUAAAGUGGCGCACGGGUGAGUAACACGUAGGCAAUCUGCCUUUAGGACGGGAACAACCCCGGGAAACCGGGGCUAAUACCCGAUAAUGCAGCGGCACCGCAUGGUGACAGUUGUUAAAUGCCCGCAAGGGCGCCUAGAGAUGAGCCUGCGCCCCAUUAGGUAGUUGGUGAGGUAACGGCCCACCAAGCCAACGAUGGGUAGCUGAUCUGAGAGAAUGAUCAGCCAGAGUGGAACUGAUACACGGUCCAGACUCCUACGGGAGGCAGCAGUGAGGAAUAUUGCGCAAUGGCCGCAAGGCUGACGCAGCGACGCCGCGUGAAGGAUGAAGUCCGUUAGGAUGUAAACUUCUUUUGCAGGGGAUGAAUGUUCCGGUUUCCGGAAUUGACCGUACCUUGCGAAUAAGGAUCGGCUAACUACGUGCCAGCAGCCGCCGUAAGAC